rnacentral:rRNA from 1 species
UGGGGAAUUUUGGACAAUGGGCGAAAGCCUGAUCCAGCAAUGCCGCGUGUGUGAAGAAGGCCUUCGGGUUGUAAAGCACUUUUGUCCGGAGAGAAAUCCUUGGCUCUAAUACAGUCGGGGGAUGACGGUACCGGAAGAAUAAGCACCGGCUAACUACGUGCCAGCAGCCGCGGUAAUACGUAGGGUGCAAGCGUUAAUCGGAAUUACUGGGCGUAAAGCGUGCGCAGGCGGUUUGCUAAGACCGAUGUGAAAUCCCCGGGCUCAACCUGGGAACUGCAUUGGUGACUGGCAGGCUAGAGUAUGGCAGAGGGGGGUAGAAUUCCACGUGUAGCAGUGAAAUGCGUAGAGAUGUGGAGGAAUACCGAUGGCGAAGGCAGCCCCCUGGGCCAAUACUGACGCUCAUGCACGAAAGCGUGGGGAGCAAACAGGAUUAGAUACCCUGGUAGUCCACGCCCUAAACGAUGUCAACUAGUUGUUGGGGAUUCAUUUCCUUAGUAACGUAGCUAACGCGUGAAGUUGGACCGCCUGGGGAGUACGGUCGCAAGAUUAAAAGCUC